GUGAGACCAGCAGGCCUGGCAGGCCAGCACGCUGCUUCUGCUGGGCUCUGUGGAGUGUCUGUCUCUGUCUCAGCUUGGUGCUGGAGUCCAGGCUGCCCUGAGUGCUGCCAUAGCCAGAGCCUUGCAGUGGGGCAGAGCUCGGUGUCGCUGGCGCUUCACACAUGUCUGAAGGACCUUGCCAAGGUUGUGUGAGCGUCUCUCCCUGCCUCAAGGUAAGAUCAUCUCUGCCUCUGUCAUUGCUGCACUAAUCUGUUUGUAAAGACCCUUGGGGAUACAGGUUGCUCAACCUCUUCCAGGACUUCUAACAAGAAUAACUGUAACAACCCUAUAAAGUGUGUUGGGGGUUUUCUUGUUUACUUUCCUUCCUUGCCUCAAUUUUUGUUUAUGUUCUGUGGUCGAGGAAACAUUUUCCUUCACCUUUCCAGGAGGCUGUUUGAAAGCUGCCCUCAGAUCAGUGGGGACCAACAGGGAUGGCUGUGCUCCUCUGCAAUGCAUGUGACAGAUGUGUCAGCUCUGGGCUCACUCUCUCCAAAUGGUCCAUUUCUGUCUCAAAACACAGGGGCCAAAAGCAGAGCACCAGCCUUAUGAUGAAAAUCAGCCUUUAAGCAGCAUUUUGAGACCUGCCCUAAUCAGAGUUUUGGGAGGCACCACUCUGAAGUGAGCUGGAAUUGGAGGGAAGAGAGCAGAGAUGGGAAAGGAGAGGUGCAUCCAAUUGAGGGCAUUGCAGCAGCCUCAGAUGAAAACCUUUCCCAAAACAAGAGAAACAAAAAGCUUCCUCAAAGUGGAUGGAGAUGCUGCACAGACUGCCCUGCCUGAGCACCUCUGCCCUGCUCUGGGUUAUUUAACUGGGUUCUGCAAACAUGAUUUCAAACAGCAAACAGCUAAGCAAAGGGAGCAAGACAUAACCUUUGUUUCUGCAGGACCUACCAGAGGCUGACAAUGUGGGUACGUGGGCAAUGGGAAAAACAGUUUAUGUUUUAAGCUUCGUGUGACCUCUGGAGCUUCUGGGCAUUGGAAGGUGAGAGUGAGACAAUCCUCACAAGCACUUCAUCCCUCUCGAAAUGAAGGGGCUUUCCUGGGCACACAGCUUUCCCCCUUCCCUCCCAGAAGUGUAUCUGAUUUUUGGGGGUGGAAAAAAAGAGGAUUGAUUCAAAUAAAAAUGUAUUUGUAUGAGAAAAAUUAUUUCCU
rnacentral:lncRNA from 1 species